AAAAUACCCUCACACUAUCUGAUUCCAACCCUAAUUGAAGAACUAACGCGCUGCCGCAUACACUGUUUCUGUAAGGUAACGACGCCUACCACUGGGAUCUACUCCGGCGCGAUCUGCUCCAGCGACAACUUUCUCCACCAAGGAUCUCCUCAGCGGCGUUCUCCUCCGACUAGAAUCUCCUUGCCGUUCACCGCCAUCGUUCAUCUCCUCGCUGCUGCCUUCAAUGAGCUUCUACGAUCUCGUUCUGGCUUCGAUCUAAAGACUCUCGUCUUCAAUCCCAGCAUGGCCAAGUCAAUCCACCACGCCAGGUCCUGAUCCGCCAGCGCCACAUUAUGUCUUCCU